ACAUCCUGACAUGCAUCUGAGUGU
rnacentral:siRNA from 1 species